AUCCGGAUUUAUUGGGUUUAAAGGGAGCGCAGGCGGUCUUAUAAGCGUGACGUGAAAUGCAGCGGCUCAACCGUAUGAUGUGCGUCGCGAACUGUGAGACUUGAGUGUAUUCGAUGUCAGCGGAAUUUGUGGUGUAGCGGUGAAAUGCUUAGAUAUCACGAAGAACUCCGAUUGCGAAGGCAGCUGACAAGGCUACAACUGACGCUAAAGCUCGAAAGUGCGGGUAUCGAACAGGAUUAGAUACCCUGGUAGUCCGCACGGUAAACGAUGGAUGCCCGGUGUUUGCGAUAUACAGUGAGCGCCCAAGCGAAAGCGUUAAGCAUCCCACCUGGGGAGUACGCCGGCAACGGUGAAACUCAAAGGAAUUGACGGGGGCCCGCACAAGCGGAGGAACAUGUGGUUUAAUUCGAUGAUACGCGAGGAACCUUACCCGGGCUUGAACUGUAGGCGAACGAUCCAGAGAUGGUGAGGCCCUUCGGGGCGCCUAUGGAGGUGCUGCAUGGUUGUCGUCAGCUCGUGCCGUGAGGUGUCGGCUUAAGUGCCAUAACGAGCGCAACCCCUCUCUUCAGUUGCCAUCAGGUUAUGCUGGGCACUCUGGAGACACUGCCACCGUAAGGUGUGAGGAAGGUGGGGAUGACGUCAAAUCAGCACGGCCCUUACGUCCGGGGCUACACACGUGUUACAAUGGGUGGUACAGAGAGUUGUGUGUACGCAAGUGCAUUCUAAUCAAGAAAGCCAUCCUCAGUUCGGACUGGGGUCUGCAACCCGACCCCACGAAGCUGGAUUC
rnacentral:rRNA from 1 species